rnacentral:lncRNA from 1 species
UCUGAUGUUACAAAGAAGCACAUCAGCACUGCGACACCACGCCUGCGAUACUAUACUUGCUCUAUGCUAGCAGCGGAACAACUCGUAGCAGCGGAAUACUUCUAGCAGCGGAACAACGACGAAGGUGGUGAACUCCACUCUGCAGGGACUCUAGCUGGGACACAAUCUAGCUCGCACGCAUGGCAACCUCGACAAGCAAUCGAGCAAUCAUGGCAUCACCUGCAAUCUGGCAUGACACGCCAGGUCAGUACAUUGAAUGUACUUGCAAGCUCACAACAACCAUAAACAUCAAGGCAAGACAAUAACAUAGCAUUAACAGGUUAAUUAAUUAACAACUACCAGGAUGAAGCAACUACUAAGCAUGAUAUGAAACUACUACAAUACUAAUAAAUCACCAUCUCAGAUUUCCAUAACCAUAUCUCUCUUGGCUAACCGGACAAGCAAUAUACCAUCUCGAUCACCUCGCGAUCACAACCACGACCAACACUUGGUCUCAAACGUGAUCCUUCCGGCGAUCACUACCAUGACCAACACUUGGUCUCCAUCAUCAUCAACAUCCUGCCAAUCUGUACUGCUCAACAUAUCAACAUAUCAACAUAUAAAUCACCUAUAAGUCAUUCCGUCAUGUGAGUGUUGAUCGAACGGUGGGACCUAGUACGAACCCAUGCCCAUGACCGAGGACGCGGCUAUCGAUAGAUUUAAUUACACACACUCUGCAGAGGUAGCGCACUUUACCCACACCACGGAACCCAUGGCCUCGCACUCCCAUUUGGGUACCGAUCUACUGCCAUGACACUCUCCCAGCCACUCAGACCCACUCCCAACUGGGCUAGUCCUGGGUGGCCCCGUGUCUACCAAAGACACAACGACCACCGUCGUGGCCAAAACAUCUCUCACGGGGACCGGAUCCAUAACAACAACAAGGGGCACACAAGGUUAUGUCUGCUUACCGGGCCAGGGUAAGCAUGCCCAUAACCUUCCCUAGUUGGAGGCACCGACGAGAGGCACGACAAUAGACCACAUUAGGGCCUUCCCAUAAAAGGCAAAUGUGGUUGCACUGGAAAAAGCCCAGUUCGGUGGCACCUGACCAACUUAAUGACGGAAUUUAACCCCAAAAUAUAGUAGUAAUGACUGAUACUCCGAUAUCAUCUAUCAACCUAUAAUCCAAGUCAUAGCAAUAUCCAACAAAUAAUCCAAGCAUAAUCUCAUCAUCUCAAAAUACUCCAAGGGUAGCACAACACUACUAUCAUGAUGAAUAGGAAAACAAUAGUCCUACUACUCCAAUAACAAGAAUAAAGCUAUUCGGCUAAGAUCCACAUGUACACAUCAUCUCCAAAAAUAAUACUCCAAGUAACAGAACAUCAACUAGCAUCAUGAAAAUAAGCAUACUAACCACUAAUAAUCCAAAGGCAGCAUGAUAUCCAAAGUAAUACUCCAAAAUAAUACCAGAUACCAUCAUGAGGAAUAAACAUAAUAGCCACUAAGAAUCCAAAGGCACAUGUCAUCCACAUAAUCAUCAAAAUAUUAAUCCUAGAACUCCAAGCAAUAUCAUGGCAAUAUCAAGAUCAAACAAUACUCCGAGAAUUGCCAUGAACAAAUCAUACAUAGCUAACACAAUAUUUUAAACAAGUUCAAAUGAAUAAACCACGUCACUGCAUUGCAAUCAUGCAAAUGGAGGGUGUGGCUUGCCUGGGGUGGAAGAAAUCACCGGGAGAAAGUGCGAGAAGCUCGCGGAACGAAUCGCGGGAAACAGAUCUCUCUCGGAAGGGGCUGAUUAAGG